rnacentral:rRNA from 1 species
GACGAACGCUGGCGGCGUGCUUAACACAUGCAAGUCGAACGGUAAAGCCCCUUCUUUUUUGGUGGGUGGGGUGGCGAGGGGGACGGGUAAGUAACACGUACGUACCCUUCCCCUUUGGUCAGGUUAACGGAAUGGGGGUGUGGCUCGUACGGGAUCUUCUGGUUCUGUGGGGGGGUGGGUAUGGGUCGGGUGUUGCGGCGGUUGGGGAUGGACUCGCGGCUUAUCAGCGUGUUGGUGGGGUAGUGGCUUACCACGGCGGUGACGGGUAGCCGGCCUGAGAGGGUGACCGGCCACAUUGGGACUGAGAUACGGCCCAGACUCCUACGGGAGGCAGCAGUGGGGAAUAUUGCACAAUGGGCGGAAGCCUGAUGCAGCAACGCCGCGUGCGGGAUGACGGCCUUCGGGUUGUAAACCGCUUUCGCCUGUGACGAAGCGUGAGUGACGGUAAUGGGUAAAGAAGCACCGGCUAACUACGUG